GAAAACCUACACACACCAGCACACACAGUUACACACGCGCACAGGGCGCCGCUCCCUCUUGUCGGAGAAGAUGGACGCCGCCGCCAAUCACCUCGGUUCAUCGCCUUCACUCUGCUGCCACAGGACGAUCACCGCCGUCGUGCCCUAGCCACCUCUCUCUCUCUCUCUCUCAGACACACACACAUUGUGAAAAACAGCAGCAAGCCACCGCCCCCUCAACAAUUGAGAAAGAGGGUCGUCACCUAGGUUUGCUCUUCAAUUAGGGGUCCUUUGAAAAAGAUCAGGAUAUUUGUUAAAUAUUUUCUCAGUUUGGAUAUUACGCAUUUGUUUAUAAAUUGAUAGUUAUUCUAAAAUUUUAGAGACAUUAAACAUUAAUUUCAUGUUUUACAAGUGAGCCUUCAAAUUGAUGACUUGUAUUAGGGAAUUCUAGAAAGUUGCUCUAUCAAUGUUCGGUGCUUUGUAAUUCAUGGAAAAAUCUUGUAUAGUGAAAAUUGAUGAACUAAGAGAUUGAAGGUUUGAGCCUUUUU
rnacentral:lncRNA from 1 species